GUGUUCGCUUUGGCAGCACAUAUACUAAAAUUGAACCAAUACAGAGAAGAUCAGCAUGGUCUCUGCGCAAGGAUGACAUGCAAAUUCAUGAAGUGUUCCAAAUUUAG